rnacentral:lncRNA from 1 species
GUGGUUGUGCAAAGCACAUGUUCUCUCACCUAAUAUUUUGAAUUUAAUGAUAACCUGUACAAUUCUUACAUAUAUUGAGAAUAAUGUCUUUCCUAAAGUAGAUAAAUAUAACUGCUUUCUGUGUUGCAGGUGGGCAAAAUGAGCUGCUGAAUGCUUCACUGGUUUGGGCUGAAAAGCCCAGCAGGCCACCUGCACGGAUGUGAUUUGGCUCCUCACUCCACUUGCUGCCCAUCAGCCUUGAGCCCCAUCCAACAGGCCAUGGCUGGGAGGGAGUGUGGGCAGACAGGAGAAGAGGAAGAUUUACGUAAGGGAACAACGGGACGAGUGAAGGAAACUGCUCUUUGCUGCUGACAAUUGCUACAGAGGUGACUGCAGCAGUGAGCUGCCGUCAGAGUUAUUUGUAAAUCCAGGAACAAACUGAGAAAUGUAUUGCUGUACUUCAUGGACAUCUAAAUGAAGGCCUUGUCUUCUCACGGGUCCAUGAGGUUGCAGCAGAGCCAUGAAACCACAUUUCUACACAGUACAGAUUCGCUGGAAGAUAGAGGGAGGCAAGUGACUGAAUGGAGAGCAGGGCAGCAAAGGUUAACAGCUUUCUGCUCUUGGUCUCCUGGAUCUUCUUGUCAGUGCAGUAACAGCUGGAUCUCCCAGGAAGGUAAUGAUCUUCCCGGCUGCUCUGUCUUGCUGCAGGCUAUUAGAAAAGACACGCAGCCCCUUUGCUGCCCAUUUCUUUAGCA